GGGGAUGUUCGGCUUUGACAAGUUGUACAUUUAAAAUAAGCAAGCCGAGUAUGAUAAUAACUCGUAAAACUUUUAUCCAAGUUAUAAAUGCAAACUUUAUAGCUAAAGCAAAAAGUGGGUUAGCGAAAGCUUUCACCCCUAAAUUUGCUUACGCUCUUGCUUAAUCGCCUAACGGCAAAGCAUCAGCCAUCAGACUGCUAACUCCUGAUAGGCAGAUUCUGGUGUUAUAUUUCAGGAUAGCGGGUAUUGCGUUUUCCAAGUAAUACCAGUAAAAUUAAAUUGGGAAUAGAUUAAGAUAAUUUUGUUUAUUUCAUAUUCUUAGUUGAAGAUUAUAAAUAAACUAAACUUGUAGAAUAUUUUAAAUCAACAAUUUUGGACAUGGGUUCGAUUCCCAUCAUCUCCACCA
rnacentral:tmRNA from 1 species